rnacentral:rRNA from 1 species
ACAAGCCUGAGAAACGGCUAGUAGGACUAAGGUCUGCAGCAGGCGCGAAACUUACACAAUGCUAGAUUUCAACUUAGCGAUGUAGUGAAGAAAAAUAACGAUGUGCUUGCAUUUAAACAUGCUUGCACAAUUGGAAUGAGACGACUUUAAAACAGUCAGUCGAGUAACAAAUGGAGGGCAAGUCUGGUGCCAGCAGCCGCGGUAAUUCCAGCUCCAUUAGCAUACAUUAAAGUUGUUGCGGUUAAAAAGCUCGUAGUUGAAUGUAGUGGGGGUUGAUUGGAAGCGGGUGCGUUAAGGGUCAGCGUAAGUUGGCCUGUGCUCGUCUUUCCAACUAGCCUCUAGUUUCGUCACUUAAUCGAGUGCGAAGCGGGCCAGAGAAGAGGGCGGUUCGUCCGCGACUACUUUGGCAAGUUUACCUUGAGAAAAUUAGAGUGCUCAGAGCAGGCAGUUGGGGUGUAAAAGCUCCUUUAUGCUUGAAUAAUGUUGCAUGGAAUAAUAGAAUACGGCCUCGGUUCUAUUCUGUUGGUCUUAUAGAACAACAAACAAGUUGGUUUGUUCGCCAACGGUGCUGAGUUUGCGUGUGGUAGAGGACUUGUUGCCUGGGGGUAAAACCUCAGUGCCUACCUACUGCCACAUAAAAAGCGCUUGCCCAGUCACCAGAACAUCAACCAACUGAGGCAAUGGUUAAAAGAAAUAGUCGCGGCGGCAUCAGUACUGCAUCGUGAGAG